GGUCCGUAGAGGUGACCUGCGGAAGGAUCAUUA
rnacentral:rRNA from 1 species